rnacentral:misc_RNA from 1 species
GAACCGCGAUAGGUAGUGUGAAUUGCAGAACCCAGUGAACCAUCGAAUUUUUGAACGCACAUUGCGGCCGCCGGCAUCCCGGCGGCCAUGCCUGCCCGAGCGCCACAACAACCCUCGGGGCCCCUGCCCUCCUGGCGAGGCCCCGGCGCUGGGAGGCCCCGUCUCGUUAUGACGGACGGCUCCUUAAAGCUAGCGGCGACGCUGCUAGCAGCUUCUUGCGUUAAGUAGGCACUAGCUAGCGCGAGAACCUGGCAGCGCCCGUCCGUGGGAACUACUAGACCACCUUUAGGCUGGCCUCGGGUCAGGCAGGACUACCCGCUGAACUUAA